GACCUCAAGUACACCCCUCAGAAGUCUAUCAAGGGUUCAACAGUUGAUAUGUUCAUAUUUUAUAGUUUUUUUACCCCCGUCCCUUAGUACUUUUUGAUCUCAAAUGAGCUCUUCGGAGCGAUUUUUAGUACUAAUGUGCUCCUUGUAGUGUGUUUGUAGUUUCAGGUUCAUUAUUGUAUGAAUUAUUAUAUUUAUGUGCAUUUCCUACUCAUUUGAAUCAAUACAAGAGAUUAUAUACUUUCGAGAGCACAAACAUUAAGUUGGAAGAGUUUUGAAGCAAAGCGAAUAACGAAAGAUGUAGAAAAAUGACUAUAGUCCACUAUUUUAAUCAUAACUCAAGUUCUACAACUGCAAAUUCAAUAGCUUUCCAACAAGUGGCCACUCGCCUAAUUCCAAAGAAUAACGAAGGUGAUAUGGCGUUUUGAAGAUAGAGGAUCGUGCAGUUUCAACACGCGCCUGAUCGGACGGGCUCAGCCCGAUACGGAUCGGGCGGUCAUUCUGGGCGUUGUUCUAGGAAUUUUGCAACCGCCCGAUCGGGCCUCUUGUCGAGCAGAUUGUCCGAUCGGGCGGCCGUCUGCCCUAUUCUAAUGACUUAUCUAACCCUUGCAUGGAUAUCAAUGUUUUGCCUCAUGAUUCCACUGUUGCUUCUCCCGUGUAUUAUUUUGAACCCUUUCCCAAUCCUAUUCAACUCGAAUCAGAAAGCAGAGAUAGCUUCUUAGAGGAAUAAUAAGAUUAAAUUCUGAGAUUGAGAUUCAGUGUACUAGAUCUCAAGAGGCUACCAAUGAGAUUAUUAAAGCUAGUAAGGCUACUCUUGAGAGAUUUAGAAAAGUUCAAGAAAUUAUUGAAAAUAAUGAUUCGAGUUGUGUUGGGGAUGGGGGUCAACUGAGUGAACCAUAGGCAACCAAGAAUGGGAGGAACUUAUAACAGAGGUUGAGGAUGAAUUGGAGGAUGAUGAUGUGACUGUUGGAUCAAUGGAUGAAGGAUUUGUUGAAAAUGAAAAGCCAUAUGUUAUAGAGCAAGUCCAUGAAGAAGUUGAAGUUGAUAAAACCCUUGUUGUUGUGUCAACCCCUACCCCUCAUAUUCCAAGUCCAAGAAGGGUUAUUCUUAGCCCUGUUUACACCGUCUCACUCCCCUUAUCUUUUUCCAUAAAACCUUUGCUUGAGGAUCUUCCUCCUCCCAACGAAAAUCAAAAGCCCAAGAAGAGGUGGAUGCUUUGCAGAGAGCUCUAUAUGGUGAAGAGCCUGUUCACCAUGAAUUCCAAAACACAGAGAGAGCUAUUUCAUUGGUCAUUGAGGUUGAAGAAUCAAUAGUCCGCAAAAACAACUUCCAUAAGGAGAGUAUGCCUACUUUCUCUUUUCCUUCCUUUUCUUAUUCUUCUUUUGUUAUUAUUUUUUCUUUUUGUUCUUCUUCCUUUAGGCAUCCUACUCCUUACUGGCAUAGAGCUCAUUCGGACUUUAUGCAAAUAAUGUUAUUGAUUAUCGUGCAUAUCUUGUUGCACGAAAUAUGUGCGAGUGCACAUGACAAGCUUCUAUGCUCGUUGGUUGGUUAUUUACUAACCAAUCGCUUUGCGGCAGGCACAUAAGAGUUGGAGCCGGAGGGGUUCAAUGAAGAUUGAGACCCUCGAUCUCCACUCCUUCAAGCACUGAGGACAUUGCUGAGUUUGGCUUGGGGGAGGUAUGUGUUAUUGCUUUCUAGAGUAGUUUAUCGCUUUUGAAAAAAAAAAGAACAAAAAUACGUUCCGAUGAAUACAAAAUCAUGCUUCCCUGUGCCCCUUGAUUGAAAUGUGUUGAUUCUUGGUUUUUGAUGACGAGCAUUGUUGAUAUGUUGGCCAUGAUUUAAUAUUCGACUAUUUUGGUGCCUUUCCAUGAGUCAACUUUGACCAACUAUUUGUGAACUUGGUGCUUGGCUAGUUGAUUUGGUUAGAAAUGUGUGAUAGCUUCCUGGUUUGUCAUUGAUUUUGAGUAUUGGUUUGCAACUGUUAGUAAUGUUUUAUGACUCGUAUACAUGCACAUUGAGGAGGACGAAGGCGUUUCUCUAUUUAGGUAGCCUUCAGAUUGAAUUAGAUACAUUUGUUCCCUCUUUUCUGCCCAUGUUGUUGCUUGUGCCCCUUUAUUCGGUGACUAGCCAUAUUACAAGCCCAUGAAAUCCCCAUUGGUUACUAGUCCCAAGCCUAGCUUGGGGGAGCUAAUAGUAAGUGAGGUGAGGGAGUUGUAGUGUGUUACAUUUUGAGCACAAAUUGGGUGUUGAAAAAGGAAAUAAGGGAAUUCUUCUUAUCUUGUAUGUUGUUUGAAAAGAAAAAAAAUGAAGAGUGAAAGAGAUGAGAAGGAUGGGAAAUGUGAAGGCCUCCAAAAAGAAAAAGAAAAAAAAAAGAGAAAGAAUUCGAGCAAGAAAAGAAAAGAAAAUUUCAUUAUGCUCGAAAGAUUUCAAAGCAUGAAUUCACUCAAGUAUUGUAAUUUCUUAUCUUUAUGAGUGAUUGGUUAUAAUUGUGAAAUCAAGCCAAGAAAGUAUAGUGUGGUUUGUUUGUUGUUUUAUUCAUGUGUUGAGUGGGAGAGUUGUGGUCAUCAUUUGUGAUUGAUCAUGGAUUUGCUAGGAUUUAUGCUCCCAAAAGCCAAGGCUUUAAGCUCACAUUUUACCCAAAUUUACCACACCCUUACCUAAGCCUAUCAUUACAAGCUUGAAAGACCUUCCGACCUUUGUGCAUAGAGUUGUAUUAAUGUGAAAGUAGUUGUUUAUCAAUGCAAGUUAUGACACGACACAUUUCGAGUCGACUACUAGGUUGAGUGUAUGCUUUUCCAGACACACGAGUGUUGUGAGUUUGGGAGGGCAUUGUUCACAUACAUAUUGGGAGGAGAGCGAACGGGUACAUCUUUUACCCGCCACAUAAAUGAGUGAAGAGUGUGUGAGCACUAGUCUUGAAUUCCAUUGUGCACUUGUGGUUCGCUCUGCGUGAAGAUUGUUAAGGAGGAUUUGUGGUCGAAUGGAUUUGAUUGGUUGGCAUUGAUGCAUGCUUGUUGAAUUUUACCUUGAAUCGUAUCCAUUGUUUUAAGAUGUGUUUGGGGUGAAGUUGAUAUAUGUAUUCAUCGAUGAUUUCUUUUCUUAGGGACAAGCAAAGAUCUAGCUUGGGGGAGUUUGAUAUCACUACUAGAAAUUAUACCUUUAACGACAAUAUACUAACGACAACCCCUAAUAUUAUGUCGUUAAUUGCAUUAAUGCGCUGCAUUAUUACCACACAAAGUAAGGUUGUCGUUGAAGUUCCAUUAAAAACAUUAAAGAAAAAAUAAAUACAAAUUUGUGUUCGUCGUUAUCCUUGAUUUCUUCAGUGCGGCAUUCAAUUUUUCAAGCCCAUCUUCAAAUUUCACGCUCCAAGCCUCCGAAUUUCAGUAACCUCCAAGCUAAAACCCUAAUUGAGCUCGUCUGAAAUUUAUGAUUCUUAUUAUUCUAGAUGAAGAUUUUGAUUCAUUCUUACCGCUGUUUCACUCACCUUCAACCAAAACCCCUCUAUUUCACUCUCCUCUCUUUAUUUGAUCGACCAAAGAUUCUGUUAAAUUUUAUGCAAGCUCGCAACACCAUUGUACGCGGUAUAUUUCAUAUCUCUUUUCCACUUUAAAUGAAUUUUCCUUCAAUCGAUUAAAAUUGUGUUGAUGAUUUGAUGUCGCGGAAUAUUUCAUGAAUCGCAAUAAUCAAAUUCUGAGAUCAAUUAAGAGAGUACGAGUGGUUGACUACAUGAGAUCGGGAAUCCUACAUGAACUACAUGUGAUUGAAAUUCAAGGUUUGAUUUCUCUAAAUACGUACUGGUUGAUUUAUUUGUUGUUUUUGUUGGAUGAUUGUCUUAGUUUGUUAUUCUUUUGAUGGUAUUGUCUUAUUUUGUUAUGCUUUUGAUAGCUAUGUAGGUUCUUCUUUUCGUACUCCAUAAUCACAAAUCAAGCAAUCACCAGCAAAUAAAGUUGUUUUUCUUUCUUUCUUUGAAUGUUAAUUUUGUUACUCACGAAAAGCAGAGGUUUGAUGGAAUGUGUUUGAAGAGCUGAAAUUCAAUGAGCCAACGAAAAUCAUAUGACCCUGUCUUCAUUCAUUGAACCUGAAGGAGAUAGCUAAUUUUGUAUUGCGAUUGAAUUGAGAGUUGCACGUUUCUAUUUUAUUAUUCUUUUUCAAUUGUUAAGUUUUAUGUCGUAUAUGCUGAAUAUUUGGAACUCAAUAAUUCAUACUCUUAAUUGUAGGGGCAUUGCAAUUCUGAUUUGUGUUAUCUGAUUUUUGGUUUUGUUAUAAUUGAUGUGAUAAGAUGCCUGAUUCAGUAAUAAGUGUUAUUGUUUGUUGAUCUGAUAAGAUGCCUGAUUCAGUAAUAAUUGUUAUUUAGUUAUUGAUGUGAUAAGAUGCCUGAAUUGUAGGUUUUGUGUUAUCUGAUUCAGUAAUAAGUGUUAUUGUUUGUUGAUCUGAUUCUACUUAGAACAACGUAUACAAGCUCCUCUUAUUCUUUUUAAUUAGAUUUUCAUUUUCUAAACUUAUUGCCUGCAUCUUUUGUGCUAAAAUCCCUACACCUAUCUAAAUUUUCCGCAAACAUUAAGUCAUGACAGAACCUUGUAUGUUGAUUCAUUUCUGAUAAUUUGCAUUCAAGUGUUCACCCUGUGUGUCAUAGUUUAGCAGUGUUGAAGUAUCUCUAGGACUAAGUGUAGGAUCCUCAAGGUAUCCACCUCGGUCAAUUACUUUCUUCCCAAUUAUUCCUAUGGGGUUGGUUCUCCGACGUGAAGGGUAGCCUGGUACAUCAACACCAGCUUGGAUACAGAGUUCAACAAUGGCAGGGAUAUGGUCGUAAUCAAACCUGGUUUCAUGCUUGAUUUGCCGGCCAAAAGGGUCAAAGAGAUGGUAUUCUAGGUCUCCAUCACCUAUGAAACAAAGACCUACGUCUCACUCUAGGUCCAUAUCUAUGUCUCCUCCUAGAUACCGGUCCCAUUCUCGUCCCAGGUCAAGGUUGGCGAGCCGUGGAAGGAUUGAGAUCCUCUAGAGUCACUCACAGAGAACUUCAGGAUUUGUUUUCCAAGUAGGGAAAGCAUUUCCUAUGUGUAAAGGCUAGAGAUGUGGGGGAUUAUUUGGCACUGCCAAUUCACCAAGAUAUUAAACAUUUUCCCCUUAGCUCUGUUUCUUAUCUCACUGCCAAGCAAGAAUCAAGAUAAUUCAGGAGGAAAUUCAAAUAAUAAUGGAAGAAGAACCAACACUUACAAUGUAGCACAAAAUGUGUUUAAGUCGAAGUCGAAUGAUCGAGUUUUGGAUUAUGGAGGAGGAAUAACACUUAAAGAAAUAUCAAGCUGGAUCAGAAAUGCAAAAAAUAGGUCGAAGCUGCUACACAUCAGUUCUAGAUAUUUGGAUCAUAAUUUCUUACUUUUUUUUUAAGAACAAGGAAUCCUUGAGAUUUAAUUCUUAGUAUGGACCAAGUUAUAUAUUUGACCUUAUUAGUUUGGUUGUUUUGACUCACAUUGAAUUUGUUUAUUAUAAAUCUUUUGUGAUUGAUUACGUUAAUUAAUAUAAAUUCAG